GCAUAUCAAUAAGCGGAGGAAAAGAAACCAACAGGGAUUGCCCCAGUAACGGCGAGUGAAGCGGCAACAGCUCAAAUUUGAAAUCUGGUCCCCAGGGCCCGAAUUGUAAUUUGUAGAGGAUGCUUUUGGCGAGGCGCCUUCCGAGUUCCCUGGAACGGGACGCCAUAGAGGGUGAGAGCCCCGUCUGGUCGGAUGCCUAGCCUCUGUAAAGCUCCUUCGACGAGUCGAGUAGUUUGGGAAUGCUGCUCAAAAUGGGAGGUAUAUGUCUUCUAAAGCUAAAUAUUGGCCAGAGACCGAUAGCGCACAAGUAGAGUGAUCGAAAGAUGAAAAGCACUUUGAAAAGAGGGUUAAAAAGUACGUGAAAUUGUUGAAAGGGAAGCGCCUAUGACCAGACUUGGGCCCGGUGAAUCAUCCAGCGUUCUCGCUGGUGCACUUUGCCGGGCACAGGCCAGCAUCAGUUUGGCGCGGGGGAUAAAGACUUUGGGAAUGUGGCUCCCUCGGGAGUGUUAUAGCCCAUUGUGUAAUACCCUGCGCCGGACUGAGGUACGCGCAUUGCAAGGAUGCUGGCGUAAUGGUCAUCAGCGACCCGUCUUGAAACACGGACCAAGGAGUCGUCUUCGUAUGCGAGUGUUCGGGUGUCAAACCCCUACGCGUAAUGAAAGUGAACGCAGGUGAGAGCUUCGGCGCAUCAUCGACCGAUCCUGAUGUUCUCGGAUGGAUUUGAGUAAGAGCAUACGGGGCCGGACCCGAAAGAAGGUGAACUAUGCCUGUAUAGGGUGAAGCCAGAGGAAACUCUGGUGGAGGCUCGCAGCGGUUCUGACGUGCGAAUCGAUCGUCAAAUAUGGGCAUGGGGGCGAAAGACUAAUCGAACCUUCUAGUAGCUGGUUUCCGCGAA
rnacentral:rRNA from 1 species